AUUGAACGCUGGCGGCAGGCCUAACACAUGCAAGUCGAACGGUAACAGGAAGAUGCUUGCUUCUUUGCUGACGAGUGGCGGACGGGUGAGUAAUGUCUGGGAAACUUCCUGAUGGAGGGGGAUAACUACUGGAAACGGUAGCUAAUACCGCAUAACGUCGCAAGACCAAAGAGGGGGACCUUCGGGCCUCUUGCCUUCGGAUGUGCCCAGAUGGGAUUAGCUAGUAGGUGGGGUAACGGCUCACCUAGGCGACGAUCCCUAGCUGGUCUGAGAGGAUGACCAGCCACACUGGAACUGAGACACGGUCCAGACUCCUACGGGAGGCAGCAGUGGGGAAUAUUGCACAAUGGGCGAAAGCCUGAUGCAGCCAUGCCGCGUGUAUGAAGAAGGCCUUCGGGUUGUAAAGUACUUUCAGCGGGGAGGAAGGGAGUAAAGUUAAUACCUUUGCUCAUUGACGUUACCCGCAGAAGAAGCACCGGCUAACUCCGUG
rnacentral:rRNA from 1 species